rnacentral:rRNA from 1 species
AGGGUUUGAUUAUGGCUCAGGAUGAACGCUGGCGGCGUGCUUAACACAUGCAAGUCGAACGGGAAUUACUUUAUUGAAACUUCGGUCGAUUUAAUUUAAUUCUAGUGGCGGACGGGUGAGUAACGCGUGGGUAACCUGCCUUAUACAGGGGGAUAACAGUCAGAAAUGGCUGCUAAUACCGCAUAAGCGCACAGAGCUGCAUGGCUCAGUGUGAAAAACUCCGGUGGUAUAAGAUGGACCCGCGUUGGAUUAGCUUGUUGGUGGGGUAACGGCCCACCAAGGCGACGAUCCAUAGCCGGCCUGAGAGGGUGAACGGCCACAUUGGGACUGAGACACGGCCCAG